UGACAAGGUCCUCACCCAGAUGGGUU
rnacentral:misc_RNA from 1 species